UAAUUUAAUCAGAAUUUUAAUAUAAACAGGUCAUUAUCCCAUAUUUUACAUGCAGAACGAUUUCAAUAUUCCAAAAAAAAAAAAAAAAGGCAUCUUCUGUACAUGGUGCUACUUGGCUCUUGUAGGAAAACAUUGAAAAAAUAAUAAUGGAGCUGUUGGUGGGUUUUGUGUUUCUGAGUUGUUUUCUGCAAAAGCUGCAGCACAUUUGAUCCUGCGUUGCCCACACGCAGGGCUGAGGCCACCCAGGCACACAAAGGGACGAGGAGCAGCAACUUUGAGGCAAAGUGUAAAGACUAAACAAGCUGUUCCUGAAUAUGUGCAUGGAUGCACACUUAUUUUGAGGCUCUUCCUUCCUUCUCCAAUGGGACCAAGAGCCCCAGAUCUGGUUUUUAACAAGGAUUUUCAGUGGCCCACACCCAGAUAGAAAUUUGGCUGGUGGCUGGUUCUGGACACUGACUGGGAUCAGAAGGUAACAGCAAGCUCAAAAAGCCGUUGUGUCCCCUUCCCCCAACCCGAUUUCUUGAGGACCCUUAAGGAAAUAGUCACCUUCUGUUGCAGCCCCCUGAAAGUCCACCAUGUUCUUUUGUAUGUUCUAGGGGAAAAAAAAAAGUGCUGACCUGUUCUUUUCAUUUCCAACCUCACCUCUCAUAUAAAUUAAUAUUCUGAAGAACAUGCUAGAAGAUUUUCUGAAGUGACACCCCUCUAUGUGUACCACGAAUAUAAAAUCGGCAUUCCCUGUUCCCCAUCCUCAACAAAACCAUCGUUUCUGAAGAGCCUAAGGUGUCGAGGACUCACCAGGUGGCAUGCAAAGGACAUUUAACCCUAAACUUCCACCCACUGUGAAGUAGAGAAAUGAUUACUGCUGGGACUACAGCACAUCCAUUUACCAGGAUGGCCAGCGCAAGUCAUACCCCUGAUGAUGCUCCUGCUUGUCCACAAGUGUUACAGGGGACUACAAAUAAACACUUCCCAACCCAAUAAACACAUUUCUUGGUGGACUACCUGCCCUGGUAGGAUACAGUGAAAGAUCUGUCCAUCAAUUGGUAACAUAGUCCCCAGGGUCGCAGGAUGACCUGUGCAGACCCUUAUGUCAGUUCCCACAGCUUCUCUCCAUCGUCCUCAGCCUAUAUCCAGACAAGCAGCAGUGCUCCUCCUUCUCACUACUUCCAAUGACGGAACAGCACCUAGGACAGCUCCCGAAACCUGAACAUUUUCUGAUGCGUAUUUGACAUCACCAAUGCAGAGAGAAAGUGACGUGCUUAGUAUUCUCCUCCUGGAAGAAGAAACUCCUGUGUGGCUUUCACUACGUUAAUGAAAAGGGUUUUAAUCAUAGUGAGACAUCUUUAAAAACAAGCAACAAAAAGUGUUACCCUAAGCUGGUUUUGUUGCUUUUUGUUGUUGUUGUUGUUGUUGUAAUUUAACACUACAAACUCCCAGGACAACCAUGUCUUUCUAGGACCAAAGUUUUAUUGUUACAAAGUCAGCAUUUCCUAAUGUCAAAAGAGGCUUGCAACCCAAGAGCUGUUUGCUCUUUUCACUGUGGCAGUAGAGUCAAAUAAAUGAAACUGGUGAACCCCAUUUGCAAGGGGCAGGCCCAGCACCCUACCUUUCUCCAGGGCGGGUGGAGAAAGGCGAGUCUGCAAGGGCAGUGCCUAAAAGUACAAGAGCAGCAAGAUUUGGGCCCCACUGGCCCUGCCUAGACUCUUGCAUGGGUUAUCAAAGCUGCACAAGGUUCAACAAUAUCAGCUUGAGGUCAAUCAAACCCCAACACAGAGGUCCAAGGUGUUGUUGGAAAAAAAAAAGUGUUCAGCACACUAAUGGGUUUUAGAUUGGAAUUUCCCGCACAUGCUCCCAUCCCACUUGGAGAAUUUUCAAAGACAUUGCGUUAGGUGUUUGUGUGUGAGGUGUAUCACCAGCCUGAAAGGAGUGGGAAUAAACCAUCAGGGAGCCCAGGGCACCUUUGUGCUCACUUCAGGGAAAUUCCAUGGAACAGGUGGGAAUGCUUGUUCUGAAUCAAAGCCCGUCUUUGCCCCAGCAGCCAUCUCUCACCAAAGGAAGGUACACCUUGCGGGCGUACCUCAUAUAUCAGAUACAUCAUGAUGGCCUGGAACUUAGUUUAUGCUUGGGGAACAUAGUGACAAUAGAUGGAGGAUUUUUUUUUUAAAGGAAGAUUAAAUUCAGAGAAGAAUAUUACCAGCCAAGGAAGAAAAGGAUCUAUGCUCACAUAAAAGCCAUACCUUCUCCAUCCCAACUCCCUCCCUCAAAAUUCUUGCUGGUCCCUGGCAUUCGAAUCAGCUGAUACACAUGUUCCCUGAUUCAGACCGGUUCCAGGUAGAAUUCUGAAAUCUCAAAGAUGUCUGUGAUUGAAUCACAUCUUAACAAUACACUGAGGUAGACUGUGCUGAAAAACAAAAAUCACUAUCCCCCAUUCACCUGUUUAUUUUUCUUUGAUAAAAAUUUACAUGCGCUCCGUUUUUUAUGAGAGUGAUUUUCAGAGUGAUUUUAUAUAUUAAAAUAAAUACUUUUUCCCCUAAUAUAAGAAAAACCUUUCUGAAUUAGAAAAAUGUGAAAAUUGCAGCUAGUGUAGUAUACAACCACUACAAAUUUACUAGGAAGAGAACAAAAUACCUAGAUCUACGUGUUUUUUUUUUUUAAAUUUACGUACAGACCCUCAUAUUUACAAAAUAAAUUUGGCAAAAAUAAUUUCUGUACUCUUGCUUCUUGUACCCAAUCACUGAGGCGUCUCAGCAAUAUUUUUACAUGCUGUAAUUUCUCGAAUCAUAUAAAUAAGAUAGCAAUAGACAAUUGGGAUUCGUGUCUACCUGUGUUCUUAAUCAAGAAUUGAGAGGGCUUGGAGGUUGCCAUUAUGACUCGAUCCCAUUCUUAAGCCCACAACUCUUAAGAGAAGAAAAGGAAGCAGUCAAAAAGUUGUAAGAAAAUGCACUCAGGAAUAACGCAUGGGUGAUGAUUUUUUGAUGAACCAAAGUGAUGAGUUCACUGUGUUCUUUGAGCAGCUGUGGUGGUUCUUUUCACAAAGAGAAGAAACGGUGGAUUCACGCCCAUUCGGAAGUUCUUGGUGGUGCGAAAGGUCUUUUUCACGGUUUCUCCUCCAGACUCUACUCUCUUAGGGACUGCAACAUCGUAAGUGUCUGCGCAUUCUGCUCAGGCACCACACCUGGCCCAGAUGAGGUCUCUGGGCUCAGAGCAGCUUCCGGGAGUUCAGUACUGAGGACCGUCGGAUGCUCUCAGGGUGGAGGGGAGCAAGAUGUACUCUCGGUGCACCUCUCUCUUAUAUUGCUUAGAUAUUCCCAAAAUCCAUCCAGGUUGUUGCUCUUUGGGAUCUGAUGUUCUUGUGUUUGCACAGUAACGGUAGGAUGUUCACACCCAGGAGAGGAAACGCCACGAGAGGUACACACAGAGAACCAGAGGAUGAACACGGGUGUUCUUGAAGGCAGGCUCAGAGCUAGGUAGCUACCAGCUUAUCCGAACAGGAACC
rnacentral:lncRNA from 1 species